rnacentral:rRNA from 1 species
GAUGAACGCUGGCGGCGUGCCUAAUACAUGCAAGUCGAGCGAACAGACGAGGAGCUUGCUCCUCUGACGUUAGCGGCGGACGGGUGAGUAACACGUGGAUAACCUACCUAUAAGACUGGGAUAACUUCGGGAAACCGGAGCUAAUACCGGAUAAUAUAUUGAACCGCAUGGUUCAAUAGUGAAAGACGGUUUUGCUGUCACUUAUAGAUUGAUCCGCGCCGCAUUAGCUAGUUGGUAAGGUAACGGCUUACCAAGGCAACGAUGCGUAGCCGACCUGAGAGGGUGAUCGGCCACACUGGAACAGAGACACGGUCCAGACUACUACGGGAGGCAGCAGUAGGGAAUCUUACGCAAUGGGCGAAAGCCUGACGGAGCAACGCCGAGUGAGUGAUGAAGGUCUUCGGAUCGUAAAACUCUGUUAUUAGGGAAGAACAAAUGUGUAAGUAACUAUGCACGUAUUGACGGUAACUAAUCAGAAAGCCACGGCUAACUACGUG